rnacentral:lncRNA from 1 species
UGAGCCACACCUCCGAGGGUUUUCCAAGGUGGAUGAUUUAAGAUUGAAAUUCUGAAUAAUUUGACCGCACAAGAAAAGACUCUGACACCAAGUCUCACAUACUCUGCCUUCGCUGGAAGCAGGUCUCCUCUCUGGACUUCACCUGCCCUCAGAGAGCCCUCUAUUUAAAGCGGGCGACCCCAUCUUCUCCCUUAGAAAAAAACAGUUCUGGCCACAUUUGCUGACCCUCUGUUUCAGCAGAAAUUUAUUGGGUCCCUCCUAAGUUCUAGGUGCGGGGACAGAACUGUGAAUGAAAACAGAUACAAUCCCCGUCCUCCUGGAGUUUAUAAUUUGGGAGGAGGAAAUACACUCAUACAUGUAAGAUGACAAAGACUGCUGAAGGAGUGAUACACUGAUGAUGGGGACAGGCUCCCCUGAAGAAACGACCCUUGAAGAUGAAGUUUGCCUUACGACUGAAAAGGAAAAUCCCACCGGAUACACUCAGCCAUCCUCAUUCGAAGGUACGAGCUCGGACACACGUGUCUCAAGGUGGUCAUGACAGUUGGUUUCCAAAUGUGAAUUUCAAAUACCUUCAUCAAAUCAAGUCUUCUGCUCAUAAACCUGGUGUUUUUACCUUUGCCCUCACUUUAAAAUCACCCCACGAUACAGGGUCCCCACUCUUUUAGUUGGCCUUAGACAGAGUAAAUGGGAUGGAAUGUGACGGAUGCAUUGAAUUAGUUUCCCCUUCGAGUGUCCUCUAGGGCCUGCAUGCCUGUCCACUGUCCCAUUUUCUAUUUUCGCAGGAGAAGAAAGAGCCUUCUGUCCAUUUAAGAAGGCAAACUCCUGACUUUGCUCUUUGGUGUAGGGUCUAUAUUCCUGGACACCUAUCAGAACUUAAGGCCCUUUCAUUUUAUCAGAAGCUUGAUCUUCUUUAAGUAUCAUUAAGCUGAAUAUUUAGGGCAAGCAGACUUCUAGGCAUCAACUAACCCAGAAUUCUCAGAGCUACCCACUCUGCUUGCUCACAGAGCAAAGCCCUGAAAAAACAGCUAUUUUAUGGCCACCUAAGAGGCCUGAUAUGGGGGAGGUAUCACCCUUUUAGAACUGACCUCAGCAUGAAAGAUGACCGCUUGACAUUUGUCAGCUGUAUCUUCAGCUUUCUUUUGCCGCAUGGGAAGCGGUGUGUGUGUUGGGGGGGGG